AAACUCGUGACGGAGGAUAUC
rnacentral:rRNA from 1 species